GCCCAGGUGGUGGAACUGGCAGACACGCUAUCUUGAGGGGGUAGUGCCGAAAGGCUUGCAGGUUCAAAUCCUGUCCUGGGCA
rnacentral:tRNA from 1 species